UACGGAGGGGGCUAGCGUUGUUCGGAAUUACUGGGCGUAAAGCGCACGUAGGCGGCUUGGUAAGUUAGAGGUGAAAGCCCGGGGCUCAACCCCGGAAUUGCCUUUAAGACUGCCUCGCUUGAACGUCGGAGAGGUGAGUGGAAUUCCGAGUGUAGAGGUGAAAUUCGUAGAUAUUCGGAAGAACACCAGUGGCGAAGGCGACUCGCUGGACAAGUAUUGACGCUGAGGUGCGAAAGCGUGGGGAGCAAACAGG
rnacentral:rRNA from 1 species